rnacentral:rRNA from 1 species
GUUUAUCAAAAACAUGUCUUUUUGAAUUUAAUUUAAAGUCUAGCCUGCCCACUGAAAUUUUUAAAUGGCCGCAGUAUUUUAACUGUGCAAAGGUAGCAUAAUCAUUAGUCUUUUAAUUGAAGGCUGGAAUGAAUGGUUGAAUGAAAUAUUAACUGUUUCAUAUAAAUUAAAAAUAGAAUUUUAUUUUUUAGUUAAAAAGCUAAAAUUUUAUUAAAAGACGAGAAGACCCUAUAAAUCUUUAUAUUUAAUUUUAUAAUUUUUAUAUAGAUAAUUUAAAUUUUUAUAUAAUUAAAUAUUUUAUUGGGGUGAUAUUAAAAUUUAAAUAACUUUUAAUUAAAAAUUAACAAAAAUUAUUGAAAUAUUGAUCCAUAAAUUAUGAUUAAAAAAUUAAGUUACUUUAGGGAUAACAGCGUAAUUUUUUUAGAGAGUUCAUAUUAAUAAAAAAGUUUGCGACCUCGCUGUUGGAUUAAGAUAAAAUUUAGGUGAAGAAG